UACAGAGGGUGCGAGCGUUAAUCGGAGUUACUGGGCGUAAAGGGCGCGUAGGUGGUUGUUUAAGUGAGAUGUGAAAUCCCUGGGCUUAACCUAGGAGCUGCAUCUUAUACUGGGCAACUGGAGUACUGUAGAGGGUAGUGGAAUUUCCGGUGUAGCGGUGAAAUGCGUAGAGAUCGGAAGGAACACCAGUGGCGAAGGCGGCUACCUGGACAGAUACUGACACUGAGGCGCGAAAGCGUGGGGAGCAAACAGG
rnacentral:rRNA from 1 species